rnacentral:rRNA from 1 species
GAUGAACGCUGGCGGCGUGCCUAAUACAUGCAAGUCGAGCGAACAGACGAGGAGCUUGCUCCUCUGACGUUAGCGGCGGACGGGUGAGUAACACAUGGAUAACCUACCUAUAAGACUGGGAUAACUUCGGGAAACCGGAGCUAAUACCGGAUAAUAUAUUGAACCGCAUGGUUCAAUAGUGAAAGACGGUUUUGCUGUCACUUAUAGAUGGAUCCGCGCCGCAUUAGCUAGUUGGUAAGGUAACGGCUUACCAAGGCAACGGUGCGUAGCCGACCUGAGAGGGUGAUCGGCCACACUGGAACUGAGACACGGUCCAGACUCCUACGGGAGGCAGCAGUAGGGAAUCUUCCGCAAUGGGCGAAAGCCUGACGGAGCAACGCCGCGUGAGUGAUGAAGGUCUUCGGAUCGUAAAACUCUGUUAUUAGGGAAGAACAAAUGUGUAAGUAACUAUGCACGUCUUGACGGUACCUAAUCAGAAAGCCACGGCUAACUACGUG